CCCGUCUCCACCUCUCCACCAGUAUUUGUAAGAACUCAUCAAGCUCAAGGUCUCAGUCGUUAUCUUCUAGGCGUUGUGUGAUUGAAAAGGAUAUCGAGCAGCUCGUUUGAAAAAUCGGAGAUUGUCCCGCCGCCUGCGAUGGCUUUUCCCUACCGCGGCAUCGCUGGCGCCGGGAGCGCUGUGGCACGGCACUCUGCCGUGGGACCGUGCCCCCGUGCGCAGCAUGCUGCUUAACCGCACCAUGGCCAGUUCAAGCAGAAGGGAAAGAGAAGUGAAGAACCUACUUGUGCAGCUUAAUGCGUUUCUGAAGGAGUGCAGAUGCUGCAGCGGGGAGCGUUGUAUGGGAGAGCGUCACUAGAAAACACAGAUCCAGCUAAACUUCCCGGAUCUCUACUUCCAGAGCUUUUCACUGGAGGGGAGCAAGAUAAUCCUCUGCGUAAGCCAUGCCUCUCUGUCUUGACCUUUCAGCCAAGUGAAGGACACAGAUCCAGAGAUGCAGACACCAUUUCACUGCACACGCACACAGGGAGACCAGCCAGCCCGGUGCCACGGCUACUGAGGAACUAGACGUCACGGUACAGCCGAGGAGGGACUUCAAUGCGUGGCAUUCCCUGAAUCCCGGUCAGACGCCACUGACAUCGGAGCAAGGACAAGAGGAGAGGCUGAAGCGUCGACAAACCUCUUCGUUUUGGGGUCCAGCCUGAUCUGAAAUGCUUCUUCGCAUUGUGCAUUGCUGGAGAUCACAGAUUCGCUUACUGUGGUUUUGAAUAGGACAGAGAAAACACCUUGCUGGACUUGACCUAGUGCCAAGGAUCUGGACUUGACUGCAUUCAUCUCUCCUUGGAACCUAAAACAGCUGGAAAUUGCACUGAGCUGAAGGAUCUCUGUCAACAUGGCUUACCUCCUCAUCACAUCCACGUUGACUUUCCUGCAAUCAAAUAUUUGCACAACAACAAUUACUCUCUGUGACUAAAUGCCUCACUCACAAUGAUGCUGACACUUCAUUUCUCUCCAUGCAUGAAUGAAGAUGGUUGGGGCCAGCGGGACGUGUGUUUUGACCUGGCAUAGCAGUCCCUGUCUGCCUGGGCUCGUGUCUCACCCUGCGAACAUGGUAGCAAAGUUGCUGUGGAGGAUGCCACCACGGCCUCCUUGGAAGAGUUUGGCCUCCUGACGAUCCGACAGUGUUCCAGGCGGAGCAAGCAAUGGCAGUAAAGCUUGUGACGACGGCAGCGGCUCUGGAGGUGCCAGCUGGACCUGACGCCGCAUCCCUGGGGCGGCGGGAGCCGUCAGACGUGCCCGGGGGAGCCCUCGCUUCCCGCUAGCUCGUGGUGGGAAGUGGCGAGGAUGCGGGUGACUGGCCAAACACAACUGCACACAGUUAUCCAAAACUGAGAAUUUGCUACGGGAGGAGAGGCUUGCUUGAGUUGAGAACAGCAUUUUCCAUUGAGCCUGGGUCAGUCUAAGCAAUUUUUUUGGUUUUGUUUCCAACCCUUGAAAAAAAUGAAGUAAAUUUCAGUGUCCCCCAUUUCUCUUAAUUACAUUUAUUCUAAAGCUAGCUACACACAGAGACUAUUUUACAGUAUCUUCUGCAGUUUAUAUUUCUUCCAAUGGAUCAUUUUUGCACCAUGUUAUGCUUUUCUUAAACAGUAAUUCUGCAGAAAUUUAUCACUUGCAGUUCUGGAUUGGUAGUUAAUUGCUGGAGGAGGGCGAACCUAGGAAGAGUCCUAUUUUUCUCAGCUAGUGACAAGACUGGUUUGUUUGGCUGAUUCUUCAGGCAGAUUAUUUCCUAAAAAAUGUAACUGCUGGCCUAGAGCAACAGUGGGACUAUGGAGGAGGGUUGUGUUUGUUUUUUCUUUUGAAGAAGAGAGCAGCUGCAGGGAAGCAGAACAACUGCUUUAGAAGGUGGUUGAUCCCUAACAAAACAGCAACUUCUUUCAGCUGAUUUAACCAACCAGCACAAAACACAGACAUUUAUAUUUUAAUGAGACGAAGUCAUAACACCUGGGCUCAAAGUUCAGAGCAUGUCCUGCCUGUAAAGUUAAAGAUCCAGGGCACAAACUUAGAGUUUUUAGGAAAGUUUUAAGGGUUAUUCUUCCACUAGCUCAGCCUGCUACCUUGAGUAAGGGACACGAGAAAUGUAAUGACUAAGAGGAGAGUGCCUUGCUUUUCCUGCUCAGCAGCCCCUGGCAGACAUCCUGCUUCUGCGCUGAAUCGUUCAGCACCAUGCACAAGAUAAAAGUUCUCCUUCAUCCAUGGUUGCCGUCCCAUCUGCUGCUGGAGGCUGCUGCAGCGUCCCAUCCUCCAGCCUCGCCUCGAACACUGAAAACAGCCGCAGCAGAAGCUAUGCCGGAUGCCAAGCGGUCAACUGUCAAAGUAGCACCAAGCAGGCUGGGGAGCCGAGGGAGGAGGUGGGAGCACAGCGCAAUUUACUGAAAACGCCGUCAGAAAGAGACAGGAGUGCUGUCGUCCUUCGACAAAUCUAAUUUUUGUAGCAGAGCACAGGUGGUUUGAAACCUCCUUGUCUGCACCCCAAAUCCACGUUUCUUCUUACUAAGUGGACUGAAAUUACCUCUUAAUCAAAUCUCUCCACAACGCAGUCUGUUGCAGUAGUUACAGAGAAGAUAAGGUUUUAACCAAGUUAUGCUUGAAAGCUACAUGAUGUAAUUACUGAUGUAACGUUGCUUCUUGAAGCAGGGGGGAGAGAUCAUUUUUCCUUCUCUCCUUCCUCUGGGGUUUGCAAGAAGCAAUCACCUUUCAUCAGACACACUGGCUUUAAAACAUCAAAGCGAAACAGGAUUGGGUUGUGCUUAGCCCAUGUUGCUUGCUCACAAGCUUCCCCCCAGCGCACGGUUCUCCCAGCAGGACUCGGCUGGGUGCUGCGACCGGCUCCCGGGGAGGCUGGGCUGGAGGGCAGCCCUGGCAUGGUUAUCCAUGCGAGGCGAGAGCGGUCUCUAGUUUCAAAGUCACUGUCUAAACUGAAUGGAGAGAUCACCCUUUGCACUUAGUGUCUGAGUUAUGGACUGUCCCAUGUGCGUUCUCCGUAAUUUCUCCUUUACUGCCUAUACUCAGGUGUGUUGCAGCAGAUGCUAUAGCUACUGGUUGUGGGAGCUGAUUAAGAGAAUUCAGGAGCCAGCUGAGCCAUCCUCCAACCUUUCUGCUGUUCCAGUUCAACUAUUUUUUCCUAGAAGUUACACAGUCCGAGGCCGGAGGAAAUCCCGGACAGGGGCUGCAGCAGGACUGCACCGCAAGCCGGGGCCUGCGUACGGGGAGCAGCGUGGGGAUGCGCUCUGGCCGGCGAGGCCGUGCAAGGCAUACGGCAGCUGCCAGCGCAGAGCCUCAGCUGCACUUCUGUGCAAGGUAACGCAGGUCGUUCCCAGCAGGAGCAGCCUGGGGCCGGGCCGGUGCCGCCCGGCUCCGCAGCCCUCCCUCGGAUCGGUCACUGCGCGACUGCGCGUGAUUUACUGCCGUCGUUAGCACCGAUACACAGCGAGCUGCAACGAGUCUGACACAGUGCUCGUACCUGCAGCAAAAGACAGUUACGGCCAAAUCCAAACGUCAAGUUAAAUGCUAGCUUCAGAAAAAGCCCUACCAGGAGCAUUCAGUGUGAUGGGUAAUUUAAAACAGGAUUGGAUUAUUAUCUGGAAUAUUAUCUCUCUGGAUGACACUUGAAAGAAGAUGACGUUUCUCCUUUCCUAAGAGCAAGGUUUUUCUCUUAAGAUAGGUGGAAGGAGUUUCCAUUUUUGGACACACACAUAAAUCUGUUGAUUCAAACAGUGUUAGGAGGGCUCGCUAGCAGGGCUGCAGCUCCUGCAUUUACUUUGCCUUUUGCUGCUGCAUAGAAAGCUGAGACUUUUAAUAAACUCUUUGGAAAGGUUUUCAUUAUUGUUGUCAGUCGUUCACAGAAAAUCCUCAGUGUUAAUAAGCUCUUUGUUCACCACCAGCCUUGAGAACUUAGAUGAUUCACCUCCCACAAGGGUUUCCUGCGCUAACAUAAACAAACUGCUUUCACAGGGUGCCUGUGCAUGCCGCAGGGAUGCGCGUGGGACUUCCCGAGUGGCUGCUCCCCGUGAGCAGCCGGCUCUCCAGGCUUUAGCUGCUGCAGCCUUCCAGGAAAUCGGAGUUUUGCAAAGAUGGGUAGGACAGAAUGAGACCUUUCAGGGCCUCCCUCGGGGGCUGCAUGGAGGCUCAGCAGCAUAAUCAAG